rnacentral:rRNA from 1 species
GGGUUGUGAGGUUAAGCGACUAAGCGUACACGGUGGAUGCCCUGGCAGUCAGAGGCGAUGAAGGACGUGCUAAUCUGCGAUAAGCGUCGGUAAGGUGAUAUGAACCGUUAUAACCGGCGAUUUCCGAAUGGGGAAACCCAGUGUGUUUCGACACACUAUCAUUAACUGAAUCCAUAGGUUAAUGAGGCGAACCGGGGGAACUGAAACAUCUAAGUACCCCGAGGAAAAGAAAUCAACCGAGAUUCCCCCAGUAGCGGCGAGCGAACGGGGAGCAGCCCAGAGCCUGAAUCAGUGUGUGUGUUAGUGGAAGCGUCUGGAAAGGCGCGCGAUACAGGGUGACAGCCCCGUACACAAAAAUGCACAUAUUGUGAGCUCGAUGAGUAGGGCGGGACACGUGGUAUCCUGUCUGAAUAUGGGGGGACCAUCCUCCAAGGCUAAAUACUCCUGACUGACCGAUAGUGAACCAGUACCGUGAGGGAAAGGCGAAAAGAACCCCGGCGAGGGGAGUGAAAAAGAACCUGAAACCGUGUACGUACAAGCAGUGGGAGCACGCUUAGGCGUGUGACUGCGUACCUUUUGUAUAAUGGGUCAGCGACUUAUAUUCUGUAGCAAGGUUAACCGAAUAGGGGAGCCGAAGGGAAACCGAGUCUUAACUGGGCGUUAAGUUGCAGGGUAUAGACCCGAAACCCGGUGAUCUAGCCAUGGGCAGGUUGAAGGUUGGGUAACACUAACUGGAGGACCGAACCGACUAAUGUUGAAAAAUUAGCGGAUGACUUGUGGCUGGGGGUGAAAGGCCAAUCAAACCGGGAGAUAGCUGGUUCUCCCCGAAAGCUAUUUAGGUAGUGCCUCGUGAAUUCAUCUCCGGGGGUAGAGCACUGUUUCGGCAAGGGGGUCAUCCCGACUUACCAACCCGAUGCAAACUGCGAAUACCGGAGAAUGUUAUCACGGGAGACACACGGCGGGUGCUAACGUCCGUCGUGAAGAGGGAAACAACCCAGACCGCCAGCUAAGGUCCCAAAGUCAUGGUUAAGUGGGAAACGAUGUGGGAAGGCCCAGACAGCCAGGAUGUUGGCUUAGAAGCAGCCAUCAUUUAAAGAAAGCGUAAUAGCUCACUGGUCGAGUCGGCCUGCGCGGAAGAUGUAACGGGGCUAAACCAUGCACCGAAGCUGCGGCAGCGACGCUUAUGCGUUGUUGGGUAGGGGAGCGUUCUGUAAGCCUGUGAAGGUGUGCUGUGAGGCAUGCUGGAGGUAUCAGAAGUGCGAAUGCUGACAUAAGUAACGAUAAAGCGGGUGAAAAGCCCGCUCGCCGGAAGACCAAGGGUUCCUGUCCAACGUUAAUCGGGGCAGGGUGAGUCGACCCCUAAGGCGAGGCCGAAAGGCGUAGUCGAUGGGAAACAGGUUAAUAUUCCUGUACUUGGUGUUACUGCGAAGGGGGGACGGAGAAGGCUAUGUUGGCCGGGCGACGGUUGUCCCGGUUUAAGCGUGUAGGCUGGUUUUCCAGGCAAAUCCGGAAAAUCAAGGCUGAGGCGUGAUGACGAGGCACUACGGUGCUGAAGCAACAAAUGCCCUGCUUCCAGGAAAAGCCUCUAAGCAUCAGGUAACAUCAAAUCGUACCCCAAACCGACACAGGUGGUCAGGUAGAGAAUACCAAGGCGCUUGAGAGAACUCGGGUGAAGGAACUAGGCAAAAUGGUGCCGUAACUUCGGGAGAAGGCACGCUGAUAUGUAGGUGAAGUCCCUCGCGGAUGGAGCUGAAAUCAGUCGAAGAUACCAGCUGGCUGCAACUGUUUAUUAAAAACACAGCACUGUGCAAACACGAAAGUGGACGUAUACGGUGUGACGCCUGCCCGGUGCCGGAAGGUUAAUUGAUGGGGUCAGCGCAAGCGAAGCUCUUGAUCGAAGCCCCGGUAAACGGCGGCCGUAACUAUAACGGUCCUAAGGUAGCGAAAUUCCUUGUCGGGUAAGUUCCGACCUGCACGAAUGGCGUAAUGAUGGCCAGGCUGUCUCCACCCGAGACUCAGUGAAAUUGAACUCGCUGUGAAGAUGCAGUGUACCCGCGGCAAGACGGAAAGACCCCGUGAACCUUUACUAUAGCUUGACACUGAACAUUGAGCCUUGAUGUGUAGGAUAGGUGGGAGGCUUUGAAGUGUGGACGCCAGUCUGCAUGGAGCCGGCCUUGAAAUACCACCCUUUAAUGUUUGAUGUUCUAACGUUGACCCGUAAUCCGGGUUGCGGACAGUGUCUGGUGGGUAGUUUGACUGGGGCGGUCUCCUCCUAAAGAGUAACGGAGGAGCACGAAGGUUGGCUAAUCCUGGUCGGACAUCAGGAGGUUAGUGCAAUGGCAUAAGCCAGCUUGACUGCGAGCGUGACGGCGCGAGCAGGUGCGAAAGCAGGUCAUAGUGAUCCGGUGGUUCUGAAUGGAAGGGCCAUCGCUCAACGGAUAAAAGGUACUCCGGGGAUAACAGGCUGAUACCGCCCAAGAGUUCAUAUCGACGGCGGUGUUUGGCACCUCGAUGUCGGCUCAUCACAUCCUGGGGCUGAAGUAGGUCCCAAGGGUAUGGCUGUUCGCCAUUUAAAGUGGUACGCGAGCUGGGUUUAGAACGUCGUGAGACAGUUCGGUCCCUAUCUGCCGUGGGCGCUGGAGAACUGAGGGGGGCUGCUCCUAGUACGAGAGGACCGGAGUGGACGCAUCACUGGUGUUCGGGUUGUCAUGCCAAUGGCACUGCCCGGUAGCUAAAUGCGGAAGAGAUAAGUGCUGAAAGCAUCUAAGCACGAAACUUGCCCCGAGAUGAGUUCUCCCUGACCCUUUAAGGGUCCUGAAGGAACGUUGAAGACGACGACGUUGAUAGGCCGGGUGUGUAAGCGCAGCGAUGCGUUGAGCUAACCGGUACUAAUGAACCGUGAGGCUUAACCUUACAACGCCGAAG